rnacentral:sRNA from 1 species
GUUGCUCAGGGCCUCACCGUUAGCGGCUCCAACUCCACAUCCAGGCACCGGUCAAAUUCGAACUCCCACCAUCUCAUUGCAGCUCCAAAAAGGGCAGCAACGCCUUGCCCUGCAACUCCAGCUCCAUCACCGACCACCUUCUUCAGCCUCCACCAACUUGUUAAUCAGAAGUCGCCGUGUGACCCAUGCUUGACACACUGCUGCUUGCACUGGUGGCCCUUGUGCCAUGAGCACAUGGAGAUGAAGGGAUAAACCCCAAAGAUGUUGGGUUUAGUCACACUACAGUAUAGCACUGGUGAAUUGAAGCUGCGGCUCCACUGUUAUUAACAGCCGUUAGCGGCGAUUGUUAGUCGCUGGGAGAAGGUGAAAUCUAUUGCUGAGCUACCUCAACUCUCUUCAGAACACAAGGCAGCCAGCAACCACUGAAAGCCAAUUGCCGUAUACACUCAAAAUGUUGCAGAGUGCAGGAAGUUAUGGAUUUUCUGAGUUCUGAAAGCGAAUUGAGAGUGCUGCAAAUCAGAAAUGAUGUUACACGAGGAUGUGUCUUCGGGGCCAAGGAAGCGAAGGACAACACAUUUUGUUGUGUAGUUAUUUUGUAAAGGCUGGUAGUAUUGCAUUCGUUUAUUCUUUUUCCUCAUUAUUGCAAUAAGAAGCCCAAGCUGAAGAGAAAUAACAGGUUGAGUGAUAUGAAUUAGGAUUUGUUGUUGUAGGUUCUUCUUGGUUGUGUCUCAUUUUUUGUCAUCCAUUUCAAAUGAGCCCAAAAAGAAGGGACAAGAAAUGGGAGUGUAAAGGAAAACUAGAACAAGAAAGAACACGUUCUAGUUUGGUUUUGUUGUUUCUUUGUUUUAGUUUGUAGUUAGAAGUUGAAAUCUGGUUAUAAGAAUUGUGAGUGUAAAGGAUAAGUGGCUUAAAUUCACCUGUUAUAUUUUUUUUGGAAUUGUUUCAUUGAUUUCUCAAAUUUU